UGUUAAAAAUUUCAUUCAUUUUUACGGUUAAAAACCAAUGUAGUUGAUGAAAUAAUCAUACAAUUACACAUGGCAUGUCACGUAUACCUCAAGUUGGCAUACCUAGACUAAUUUUUAAUAGUAAAAAUGAAUAAUUUUUUUAACA
rfam:Gossypium arboreum cultivar AKA8401 contig_22980_1, whole genome shotgun sequence.